CAUUGCCUUAGUGAAUGCUAAAUAGGUCUAACCAGAUUGAAGAGGACCAGGUGGAGAGAUGGAUGACACCCAGCUUCAGUGGAAACUACAAAGAAAGGUGCAGAGGAAGAAGAUAAACUCCAGUCUUAGCUACUGAUUAGAAAAAAAAUAAUUAAAAAAAUCACCAGGAGCUCCUCUUUCAGCAGGAUUUUGUACGCUGACCAAACUGGUAUGAGACCCUGAACAUAUACCUGUUUAAGCCCCGAAUGUUUCUGAACAUGUGCAGAAAUGGAAAUUGAUGUGGAUGAGCUUCUGCCUUGAAGCAGAGACUGCUGGUGGACUUCAAGAUCUUUUGUGUUAGAUCUGGAGUACAUGGGGACUUUUCCAUACCUGACAUGCCCUCAGAUAAGACAACUAUAUAUUUAUUUAUCUAGAAUGUAGGUGAAGCCCAGGUAUGUAUACAAAUACGUUGAGAUAUAUAUUGAUAUAUAGAUAAGUAGAUAUACAGUAUAAAAAGUAUAUUAUACAUAUACAUUAUGUUUAAACCCAUUCCAAGGAGUCCAGUACUGUCCUCUUUUCCACAAUAGUUGCUUUAUAUUUAUUCUUUUACUGAAAUAGAAUGUGAGGGACUUCUGUUUGUAGAAGAAAAAGCAAACCACAAUUUUUUGGGAAACGUUUGUUGGGGAUUUUUUUGGUAAGUCAAAAUUUAAUAGAAAAUAGCAAAAAAAAAUAAAAAUAAAAAUAAAAAUCAUGGAAAAUACCAAGUCCCUGAUUACUCACAAGUUUUUGCUUCAUGAAAAUGUUUGCACAAUCUUUCAAUCUUUUUCAGAUCUGCGUAGACAUCCUCACACUUCAGAUGCCUGCAAAAUCUGCAGUGAAAUUUUGUACAUAAUGGUGUCAGUGUCUUGCAAGCAUCCUUCCUCCUCUACAAGCCACUUGGUUUCCUCUAGAACUUCACCACAGGCUGGUAGAUCUGCCAGUAUUUCCAAAGCAGUUUCAAAAUGACUCCAAAGGUGAUACUGAAGACAAUUGUGCCCAGCUGGGAUCAGAUUUUCAGAAGAUGUCUGAAAGAUGUUUGAAAAUCUUGUAUUUUCUGGUUUAAUUAGGUCAGCGCUAUUAACAUUCUGGCCCUUGGGUUAUUGUGUCUAUGAGUUAGGAGAAACAUUGAAAUAGUAGCAACAUCUUUCUCUGUGCUUUGUUGAUCACAUGCAACAAAUAUUUCACAAUAAUAAGAGCAUCUUUGCAGUGAGCUGCAUAAAUCAGCUGUACAGCCUUAGGCCUGGUGACUUUUCUUCUGUGUGGAACUGCUUAUUUUCUGUGCUUGCUCAUUUAAUUGUUUACUUCUACCAUCUAUUGUAUGCGAGAUACGUAGUCUCUGCUUACCAGAUACCUACCUGCAGUAUUUUGAACGCAAACAAUUCCCAACUUUGUGAGUCAUUAUUGGGGCUGAACUUGCAAUCGAUAGUCCUAGAGAUACAGUAGUUCAGAACUUAGUUUAGCCAUGUGUAAUACCUGGUCUGAGUACAGUUAUGGCACUGCACUCUGGCUUGGUAUGUCUUACUUGACAAAGAAAAUAUCUUGCAUCUCUUUUACUUUAUAUUUUGUUUCAGUAUAAAGGCAAGUUAAGAUUGGUUUGCAAUAAAUUUUCAUUUUAUGAUAAUACAAGGCAAGACAGCUCAGUGUAAGUUCUUUUUGUCCUAUUGCUAUUGUAUUUGAUGUAGCUACAUGUCCUAAGGGGACAAUAUUUGAUCAAAUUUAUGCUUUGCUCAAGUCAAUGGACAAACUUCAGUUGAUCCUGGAGCUGUCUUUCACUUUGAAAAAAAAAAUCAGGUAUAUCUUGGGCAUAGGUAAUGCAAUUUUUUGCACCACAUACAUUUUCAUUUCAUUUUUGCCAACCAUAACAAAAUAUGUGUGCUCUUCACUUUGAACCACAUGGGAAGAUCUCAUGUCUUUGAGUCUAAAUAACUGUAAUAAUAAUAAAUCUGUCUUAGGUCCAGUUCAACUAUCAUGUACUGGGUGGACAGGGUAUGGGUGGACAAAUGGAAAGGGACCAUUUUAAAGCACUAUACUGACUUCAUUUUUAUUGCCCUUGAAUGUUUUUAACAAGUGGCUUAUAAAAAAAUAUGCCACACAUUUAAUCACAAGUGAAAGUAAAUAAAUAGACCUAUGUGACCUGUUUUAAUGUACAAAGAAAUCUUAAUAUAUUAUAGGGCAAGGUAUAACCUGUCUUCUGUGGGUGAAUUUUGUUCUCAUUUAUUGACUGCUGUCAAACAAAUCUUCUCUGGCAUUCAGGCUUCCAUAAAUACUGUUCACUGUAGAUAGAAAGAAACUUUGGCCCUUAAGGGGGCCAAGUAAGUUUUAUUUUCAGAUUAGCUACCAUUCUGUCUUGUUUCCCCUCUUCCCAUAAAUCAAUUAUUGAGGGCUAUUUAAUUAAGAACAGAUUAGAAACAUUGUCAUUGUUGUUCUUUAAAUUUCCUUUGUACUGAAGUGCUACAGAGUUAAAACCCCAAGCACGAAAGUGCACAGCCAUCCAUGACUAACAGCAUACAGCAAAUACCAAGCUCUAUGAUCAAAAAUGAAAGCUAGUGCUGUUCAUGUGGAAUAAUAGAAAUCAUACCACCAUGACACUUCAUACACAUCUGAACUACCAAUGCACACACACUUGCUCAGCCCGUAAGAUGCCUCAGGAAUGCAGCUGCAACACAGUCAGAAACCUGCACAAGAGGUAAAUACCCAGAGGGAGGCUGCUUCCCUUAUCUUACACGGAUGGUUCGUCGGCUGCAGAGAAGGAAGGCAAGAGCUACUCAGGACAUCCUUCUUGCAGCUCUGUGGAGGUAUCCUUGGGGUGCUACAGCAAACAUCGGUGCUGAUCGCUGCUGCUCUAGGUGUAGCUCGGUGCUGAUAACUUCCUGUGUUUCAGUGAGAAGAUGACCAAGGACAGUCACCAGCCUUUCCCAUCUGUUGCAGAACAACGUCUCCCCAAAGAGUACAGAAUUAUGCAAUGUGGUACUCAGGGCUCUGUCAAGUCCCUGUCUUCACUGUCAUUAAAAAUAACCUUCCAACCACCGCUGGUUUUUCUUUGGGGUUGCAAUUGCCAUUCUUAAUUGAGCAGAGAAAGAAAAUUGUAUCUGCUCACAAAUGAGAGUGGAGAAACCCUGUGUGUUUCAGGGAGAAGAUAGAUUUUACAAGUGUAUUCUCUGCACUGUGUUUUGAAACAAAUAAGAAAAAUCACCAAUCCUCUGCCCGUUAGCUGGAAAACAAAUCCAGCUUAAUAUUUUUGCUCAUCUCUCACUGCAGGAAGUGGGAAACUUUCUGCUGUUUCAUGGGGAAUUGGAGCAAGCCAGAGAGAACAAGAAAAACAUGCAGCCUCCCGCCAAUAAAAUGCAUGUAGUAAAGGACUGUCAGGGAGAUCAAGGGCCUCACAUACUCUUUAGGAAGGAUUUGAUUUCACUGUCAUUUCAAGCCACAGAGAAGGGAUUCCAUAAUCCUGCAGUCACCUGAACCAACUACUCCCAUUCUGACAUUCAAAACCUGCUGUGGCUCAGCCCCAUCCUCAUGUGUGAGAACAGAGAUAUGGAGAGGGAACAAGGACUCAUUCUGCAAAGACCCUCUAAAAAAAGCUGACUGUGAGCACCAAAUCUCUUAAACUUUGGCUUCAAUCAGGUGAAAUUAUACACUGGUAGAAUUUUUUUGCUGAAUUUGGUAGAGACUACAGCAGUGGGAUAACUUCAUCCCCACUGUGAAUGACAGGUAAACGCUGGGGUGCCUGCAGAAGGGCCACAGAGAUCAGUGUUUCUUCUCCAGCUCUGCGCCCUGCUGCUCACUGCAUUUGCUGGAAGCAGCACAUCUGUCCUUUUGGAAGUCGGUGCCUCAUGUGUCAAAGUGAGAACAGAAACUUCCAGAGCGUGUUGAUUUGUUGACAGGCCAGCGUGCAACUGGAGAUGAUAACUCAGAUAUAAAAUUAACCAUAUGAAUUCUCAUGCUUCGAGCCCUAUCAGAUACCCUCAUUCUGUUAUGGCACUUUUCCUAUGCAAGCUCUUAAUUCACUGAUCUCCAGAAGGUGUUGAAAAGAUUUUCUGAGAGGGUACCUGAGGGUCCUAUUUUCUCUCAAGCAUAAUUCCUCCCGAUUAAUGAUGAUUGUAGGUCUAGAAUAAUGAUAAUUUGUGUUCUGAGUCCUUAAAAAAGAGUUUAACACAGUGCUCAUCACAGAACCCACUGUUUUCUGCUAGAUAGGCACUGUUUCCAGCCUUAUUCCUAAGCAUCAGUGUGCACCUCAGAUCCACAUCAGUACAGCAUUCACUCAUCUAUAAAGUGCAGUGGGAUGCAGGAUAUGAUAGGUGGGAUGCAGUCUAAACAGGGAAAUAAACUACUCUUGGUGCUUUGCAAACAGAAGGUUGGCCAAUCUCUACCUCAGAGACAAUAUAAUCUAAAAAUAAUAACUAGAAAUGAUUAACUGCUGUCAGAAAAAAAACAACUCAGACACUCUAGAACAAAUAAGAGCUUUCUAAACAUAUUGAUCCUUUUUCAGUGUUUAUCUCCAGCUAACGAUUAAACAAAGUAAAUAUAGACAUUGCUUUGUUUCACAUGCCCAUAUUUGAAUUUGGGAAGCAAAAUCAGAAAAUAAAAGCGGCUGCUGGAGGAAAAACAAAUCAGUUUUCAAAUCACUGGGUCUAAGUUCUUCCCAGCAGCUUUCAGAUGCUGCCAGCUCAGACACAAGGAGGAACAGCUGUGAACCAACAAGACUGAGGAUCAGAGACGAGUCCACCGGCUGCUGCAACAUCUCUGGGUUUUCACUGAGAAACUUCUCAUGAGUGAGACACAGGUAGACAAAUGGAAGUCUCUGUGUUGGGACAGGAGCCUCAGAGUGCAUUAGUAGCACUGAAAUGACAUAAUGGAGUUCAGGUGCAGCAUCUUGAUGAGCUCUGUGCAAUGGUCUCGGUGCUCCCAUCUGUAUCGGCAGGGAGCAGGAACUCUUUCUUCAGAUUUAUGUCAGGAAAAGCACUGUCUUAGCCUUCAGUGGAGCCUCUUUGGAGAGGCUUUUAACCCGUGGCUUGGGAGGUGCUUUAAAACCACCAUCUGUAUGUGCUUUACCUCAGGCUGCACAAAACCUUCUGACUUGUGAUCAUGACAAUUAUGAGCCGGUCCUGCAUUUGGAAAACAGUCAGAAGUCCUGCUAUUAAAUGACGUCCCCAAAAAUCUAUUAAAUGUUUCAAGAGUUUUGAGAAAAAUAAGAAGCACCACCACUUCCUACCUAGAUGGAGUGAGAAUCAAGCAUGACUUUGACCAGCAAUGAGACGGUGAACAUUUCACAGAGAUGACCUUGCUUUGCCAUUGUCUUGAAUGGAAGGAGCCGGAUGAGCCGCCUUGAGGUCAGGCAGGGUGGCAUGCAUUUGGCUGCCAUUUGUCCAUUCAGAGGUCUCCUGCAUGUACGGGUGCAAGCUACCAUCAGUGCAAUCAUGAAAUAAUUAGAGAAUUACUGGAUGCAUUUUUGUGGUUGUGACUUGGGAAUGGCAUCAUGUUGGCAUUGUGCCUGAACACUAUGCACUAUUGCUGACACCAGUGCUUGAACAAAAAGGUUUGCCAUUCCUGCUGCUGAACAUGGGAAGCUUUCUUCCUGCUGUGGGUGACAAAGUAUCAACCUGUACCUUCAUCUUCUGAGCAAACCACUACAAAGCAAAGGGUUUCUCCAUAGUCGCUGGACUGGGAACACAUGCAGAGGUGCUGCUAGUGCCAAAGAGACCAUACUGCCAGUCUCCAUGUCACAUCCUCCCAGCAAGCUCAGCCUCCUGCCUUGAGGAGCGACUCAUCAAGGAACCUGUUUGUCCUUUCUUUUGCUCUUGUUGCCCAUGGGAGGCGAUGGUAAUGCCAUUCGUAUUCUGCAUACUGGAAGGUACUGCCACAGAACAGACCAAGCCUGUUUUCUGAGCUUUUCUACCUGCUGAGAUGAAGAAGGAACAGAAUUUCUGCUCUUUCGGGCAGGUUAGGUAUCACUGAGAAAUACAGUGUGCAAGAGCUAACUAUUAUACUCUGCUACCUCACUAACUUGAGUCUGCCAGGUGCCAAACACCACUGGAAACCUCCCAGUUCUGUGGAAACUGACAGAGUCUGCAUGCUCCUGACUCUAUUGCAUAUCACAGAAUCAGAACCUUGAGAAAUUGCAGACUCUUAGCACAAAGGCUCCUUGGGACUGUGAAACAUACCCCUGAGAAAUGUGAAACAUACCCUUGAGAAAUAUGAAACAGAAAGAAGAACUCGUCAGUGUUAGAGACUGCUGAUUCUGUAAGAGCAUGAUACACACCACCCCACGAGCUGAAUCAAUGCCGCUGUACCUUGCACCAUGUCCUUACAGUGCUGCUUUCCUGAGUGAGUCACUAGGAUUGUGAUCCCUGGUUUACAUGCUUCUGAGACCUUGUGCAAUGUUGUCAGGACUGUUAUGCAGUUGGCAGUUGCUUUAUGUGUUUAUUGCAAGAGGUUUAUAAAAAUAAAAUAGUUGUUUUGGACAAAACAAAUGACAUACAUGCCAGGUUUGCCGCUGUAACACAGUAGGUUUGUAGAAGGCAGUGGCAUGGGGAAGGGAAGAUUGAACCAGGCACUGGCAUGGUAGCCAGACCUUCAUUCAUUUGUAAUUGCUUUUUGUGCUGUUAUUUCAACCCAUUCUUUUAGCUGUCUACCUGCAAGUGGUAAAGAAAGAGACGACACUGUCAUUGUGCACAUGAACUGAUGUGGUUUUACUGCAUUUGGCCACACACCGAAAUGGGAUAUGCUGGUACAGAGCGCAGCCACAGGUCUCAUCUCUGCUGCUGCUCCCUUCACAAAAGAAUAAUCUCCACAUAAACAGUUUUCCUACCUUGGCUUGAUAAGGUUGCAAUCCUACCUUUUGCUGUUGGUCAGAAUGCAGAGAUUAAAAACACUCAGUUGAUGCAAACGGUGGGCUGAUACAACACACAGAUGGGGUGUAGAUGUGCUUCACACAACAGAGAGCAGAACUGAAGGGGAACAUGUCGCCUGGAGGCAAGACGCCUCUUUAAUUGAUAAUGGCAAGGAAAAUCAAAUACCAUAUUUGCUUUUUCCUGGAGUAUAUUGAGACUGAUCAUAACUAACAUCUGUUCAUGUUAAGCAAAUACUUGUCAUGAUUUAAACUUCUGUUUGCAUACAACUCCGAGUAGUGCAUCUUAAAGUCAUACAUAUUCAUAUAGAAUGAAGAAUGCAUAAUGUCUGCAUAAAAAGAUAAGCUGUAUGACUAUAUAUGAAGACAACAACUACAAUUCUCACAGCACUGUCAUUGGUUAAUUUUAAAAUAUUCAAGCAUUAUUUAAAAAACAGUAAGCUGAACUUAAAACUACACUACGAAAAAUUGUAUAACUGAAACAAUGCUGACUGGAUUUCCUCACUAUUAAUCAAUUUUUUUUUUCUUUUUUUCUUUUUCUAACACUUCUGUUAAUUAGUUGUUGUUUUAACCUCCAGUAACAUGAUCAGAUUUCUUCUGCCUCUGGGCAAUUGAGUUAUGCUCUGAUCUCGAGUUCUAAGGGAAAUGUUCAAUUUUGUUUUUUUCCACAGUUGAAUAAACAGUACCAUGUAUACUA